rnacentral:sRNA from 1 species
AGAGGGCCUGGGAGGAAGUGGGUUUUGCAUACAGUCCCUGUUGACUCUAGUGCCCCCUGCUGGCCCCAGACGCGAGAUUUCGGCGAGGCUUCAGGGCACAGCUCCCCCACAGCCAGAAGCCGGGCCUGCAGCGCCUCUGCACUGCUCCGGGACACCCCACCCGCUUCCCAGGCGUGACCUGUCAACAGCAACUUCGCGGAGUGGUGAACUCUCUGAGGAAAAACGUAAGUUCGAGCCGUGAUUCCUUCGCUUCCCCGCAGGGUGACCUUGGGCUUGUGCCCCGGCACCACCCCUGUCCCGGGUCCCUGUGUUCUUCCUGGAAAUGGGUUGAAGACCAAAGAAAAUAAUGUGCGCCACUUGGGUCACCCCGGGCCGCCUGCCCCGGAAAAUUGGCCACAGUUGAGGAGUUGUGGCUGUAAGGAUGCCUUGAACCGAGGCGGCGGUGCUCGUGGUUGGAGCUCUCCAGGGUGGGUGCGCAUUUGUAAUGCGGUGGAUGCUCUGGGACUUGGCCCCUCUGAAGGUGCUGGGGGUUGGGGACGGCCCAGGCAGUGGCGUACGCAUCCUAGGAAGGCGGGAGCAGAGGCAGAAAUGUCGCUGCAAGACCGUAGUCAGGGUCCUUGAUCACAGGGGUCACUUGUGACCAACCACAUGGUCUGUUUUUUCUCCUGCCCGCUCGUUCAGCCCAGGAGACACUGGUGCUGGUUUGGAGCCAGAGGUUUGUACUGAAAGGGCGGGAUUGAGUCGCCAGUUGUCAGUUUCCUCAGCAGUAUUUGCGGAGGUUUUCACAGGAGGCCGUUGCUUCGUAAAUAUUAUACAUGUAUCCUUCUUUUUGGAGCAUUUUGAUUAUUACUCUCAGACGUGCGUGGAAACAAGUGACUGAGACCUAGAAAUCCAAGCGUUGGAGGUCCUGAGGCCAGCCUAAGUCGCUUCAAAAUGGAACGAAGACGUUUGCGGGGUUCCAUUCAGAGCCGAUACAUCAGCAUGAGCGUGUGGACAAGCCCACGGAGACUUGUGGAGCUGGCAGGGCAGAGCCUGCUGAAGGAUGAGGCCCUGGCCAUCGCCGCCCUGGAGUUGCUGCCCAGGGAGCUCUUCCCGCCACUCUUCAUGGCAGCCUUUGAUGGGAGACACAGCCAGACCCUGAAGGCAAUGGUGCAGGCCUGGCCCUUCACCUGCCUCCCUCUGGGAGUGCUGAUGAAGGGACAACAGCUUCACCUGGAGACCUUCAAAGCUGUGCUCGAUGGACUUGAUGUGCUCCUUGCCCAGGAGGUUCGCCCCAGGAGGUGGAAACUUCAAGUGCUGGAUUUACGGAAGAACUCUCAUCAGGACUUCUGGACUGUAUGGUCUGGAAACAGGGCCAGUCUGUACUCAUUUCCAGAGCCAGAAGCAGCUCAGCCCAUGAAAAAGAAGCGAAAAGUAGAUGGUUUGAGCACAGAGGCAGAGCAGCCCUUCAUUCCAAUAGAGGUGCUCGUAGACCUGUCCCUCAAGGAAGGUGCCUGUGAUGAAUUGUUCUCCUACCUCAUUGAGAAAGUGAAGCGAAAGAAAAACGUACUACACCUGUGCUGUAAGAAGCUGAAGAUUUUUGCAAUGCCCAUGCAGGAUAUCAAGAUGAUCCUGAAAAUGGUGCAGCUGGACUCUAUUGAAGAUUUGGAAGUGACUUGUACCUGGAAGCUACCCACCUUGGCGAAAUUUUCUCCUUACCUGGGCCAGAUGAUUAAUCUGCGUAGACUCCUCCUCUCCCACAUCCAUGCAUCUUCCUACAUUUCUCCGGAGAAGGAAGAGCAGUAUAUCGCCCAGUUCACCUCUCAGUUCCUCAGUUUGCAGUGCCUGCAGGCUCUCUAUGUGGAUUCUUUAUUUUUCCUUAGAGGCCGCCUGGAUCAGUUGCUCAGGCACGUGGUGAACCCCUUGGAAACCCUCUCAAUAACUAACUGCCGGCUUUCGGAAGGGGAUGUGAUGCAUCUGUCCCAGAGCCCCAACGUCAGUCAGCUAAGUGUUCUGAGUCUAAGUGGGGUCAUGCUGACCGAUGUAAGUCCCGAGCCCCUCCAAGCUCUGCUGGAGAGAGCCUCUGCCACCCUCCAGGACCUAGACUUUGAUGAGUGUGGGAUCAUGGAUGAUCAGCUCCUUGUCCUCCUGCCUUCCCUGAGCCACUGCUCCCAGCUUACGACCUUAAGCUUCUGCGGGAAUCCCAUCUCCAUAUCUUCCCUGCAGAGUCUCCUGCAGCACCUCAUCGGGCUGAGAAAUCUGACCCAUGUGCUGUAUCCUGUCCCCCUGGAGAGUUAUGAGGACGUCCAUGGUACCCUCCACCUGGGGAGGCUUGCCUAUCUGCAUGCCAGGCUCAGGGAGUUGCUGUGCGAGUUGGGGCGGCCCAGCAUGGUCUGGCUUAGUGCCAACCCCUGUCCUCACUGUGGGGACAGAACCUUCUAUGACCCGGAGCCCAUCCUGUGCCCCUGUUUCAUGCCUAACUAGCUGGGUGCACAUAUCAGAUGCUUCAUUCUGCAUACUUGGACACUGAAGCCAGGAUGUGCAUGCAUCUUGAAGCAACAAAGCAGCCACAGUUUCAGACAAAUGUUCAGUGUGAGUGAGGAAAAAAGGGGAAGUUGGGGGUAGGCAGAUGUUGACUUGAGGAGUUAAUGGGAUCUUUGGGAAGAUACAUCUUACAGAGUUACAAAUAGAAUCUGAAUUUCUAAAGGGAGAUUCUGGCUUGGGAAGUACAUGUAGGAGUUAAUCCCUGUGUAGACUGUUGUAAAGAAACUGUUGAAAAUAAAGAGAAGCAAUGUGAAGCA